AGUGAACGCUGGCGGUAGGCCUAACACAUGCAAGUCGAACGGCAGCACAGUAAGAGCUUGCUCUUACGGGUGGCGAGUGGCGGACGGGUGAGGAAUACAUCGGAAUCUACUUUUUCGUGGGGGAUAACGUAGGGAAACUUACGCUAAUACCGCAUACGACCUACGGGUGAAAGCAGGGGAUCCUCGGACCUUGCGCGAUUGAAUGAGCCGAUGUCGGAUUAGCUAGUUGGCGGGGUAAAGGCCCACCAAGGCGACGAUCCGUAGCUGGUCUGAGAGGAUGAUCGGCCACACUGGAACUGAGACACGGUCCAGACUCCUACGGGAGGCAGCAGUGGGGAAUAUUGGACAAUGGGCGCAAGCCUGAUCCAGCCAUACCGCGUGGGUGAAGAAGGCCUUCGGGUUGUAAAGCCCUUUUGUUGGGAAAGAAAAGCAGCAGGUUAAUACCCCGCUGUUCUGACGGUACCCAAAGAAUAAGCACCGGCUAACUUCGUG
rnacentral:rRNA from 1 species